rnacentral:rRNA from 1 species
UACGGAGGGGGCUAGCGUUGUUCGGAAUUACUGGGCGUAAAGCGCACGUAGGCGGCUUUGUAAGUAAGAGGUGAAAGCCUGGUGCUCAACACCAGAACUGCCUUUUAGACUGCAUCGCUUGAAUCCAGGAGAGGUGAGUGGAAUUCCGAGCGUAGAGGUGAAAUUCGUAGAUAUUCGGAAGAACACCAGUGGCGAAGGCGGCUCACUGGACUGGUAUUGACGCUGAGGUGCGAAAGCGUGGGGAGCAAACAGG